GAUCUAUGGCAAGGGCAUAGCUUUCUGUGCCAGUCUGUCUGGUGGAGAUCUGAAAGUUCAUCAGGGCUGUGCACAGGAGGCGAUGCCUCCAAAGGC
rnacentral:pre_miRNA from 1 species